CGGACGGGUGAGUAAUGUCUGGGGAUCUGCCCGAUAGAGGGGGAUAACCACUGGAAACGGUGGCUAAUACCGCAUAACGUCGCAAGACCAAAGAGGGGGACCUUCGGGCCUCUCACUAUCGGAUGAACCCAGAUGGGAUUAGCUAGUAGGCGGGGUAACGGCCCACCUAGGCGACGAUCCCUAGCUGGUCUGAGAGGAUGACCAGCCACACUGGAACUGAGACACGGUCCAGACUCCUACGGGAGGCAGCAGUGGGGAAUAUUGCACAAUGGGCGCAAGCCUGAUGCAGCCAUGCCGCGUGUAUGAAGAAGGCCUUCGGGUUGUAAAGUACUUUCAGCGGGGAGGAAGGC
rnacentral:rRNA from 1 species